GAACCCAGGGCCUUGCACUUCCUAGGCAAGCGCUAUACCACUGAGCUAAAUCCCCAACGACAAGGUUGUCUUUUGUUCUAAAUAUUGGAUAAAUAAUAUGGAAAUCUAUGGUAGGGAGAAGAAUAUUAGCCAUCUAGGAGAAAGAAAAGGAAUCAUAUUCUGGGUGAGCAGGUCUGGAAAUGAAGGCAUCUUUUACCAGGAGUUUAAUAAUGGGAAAGUCAGGAAAUGAGGAGAGGUGCGGGGUAGUUACAUGGAUAGAGGUAGUGCAGAGGUGCGGGGUAUUAGAGGAUAGAGGUAGUGCAGAGGUGCGGGGUAGUUACAUGGAUAGAGGUAGUGCAGAGGUGCGGGGUAUUAGAGGAUAGAGGUAGUGCAGAGGUGCGGGGUAGUUACAUGGAUAGAGGUAGUGCAGAGGUGCGGGGUGUUAGAGGAUAGAGGUAGUGCAGAGGUGCGGGGUAUUAGAGGAUAGAGGUAGUGCAGAGGUGCGGGGUAGUUAGAGGAUAGAGGUAGUGCAGAGGUGCGGGGUAUUAGAGGAUAGAGGUAGUGCAGAGGUGCGGGGUAGUUACAUGGAUAGAGGUAGUGCAGAGGUGCGGGGUAUUAGAGGAUAGAGGUAGUGCAGAGGUGCGGGGUAUUAGAGGAUAGAGGUAGUGCAGAGGUGGGGGGUUGUUAGAGGAUAGAGGUAGUGCAGAGGUGCGGGGUAGUUACAUGGAUAGAGGUAGUGCAGAGGUGCGGGGUAGUUACAUGGAUAGAGGUAGUGCAGAGGUGCGGGGUAGUUAGAGGAUAGAGGUAGUGUAGAGGUGCGGGGUAUUAGAGGAUAGAGGUAGUGCAGAGGUGCGGGGUAGUUACAUGGAUAGAGGUAGUGCAGAGGUGCGGGGUAUUAGAGGAUAGAGGUAGUGCAGAGGUGCGGGGUAUUAGAGGAUAGAGGUAGUGCAGAGGUGCGGGGUAGUUGGAGGAUAGAGGUAGUGCAGAGGUGCGGGGUAGUUACAUGGAUAGAGGUAGUGCAGAGGUGCGGGGUAUUAGAGGAUAGAGGUAGUGCAGAGGUGCGGGGUAUUAGCGGAUAGAGGUAGUGCAGAGGUGCGGGGUAGUUACAUGGAUAGAGGUAGUGCAGAGGUGCGGUGUUAGAGGAUAGAGGUAGUGCAGAGGUGGGGGUAGUUACAUGGAUAGAGGUAGUGCAGAGAUGCGGGGUGUUAGAGGAUAGAGGUAGUGCAGAGGUGCGGGGUAUUAGAGGAUAGAGGUAGUGCAGAGGUGGGGGGUUGUUAGAGGAUAGAGGUAGUGCAGAGGUGCGGGGUAGUUACAUGGAUAGAGGUAGUGCAGAGGUGCGGGGUAUUAGAGGAUAGAGGUAGUGCAGAGGUGCGGGGUAUUAGAGGAUAGAGGUAGUGCAGAGGUGCGGGGUAGUUACAUGGAUAGAGGUAGUGCAGAGGUGCGGGGUAUUAGAGGAUAGAGGUAGUGCAGAGGUGCGGGGUAGUUGGAGGAUAGAGGUAAUGCAGAGGUGCGGGGUAGUUACAUGGAUAGAGGUAGUGUAGAGGUGCGGGGUAUUAGAGGAUAGAGGUAGUGCAGAGGUGCGGGGUAGUUACAUGGAUAGAGGUAGUGCAGAGGUGCGGGGUAUUAGAGGAUAGAGGUAGUGCAGAGGUGCGGGGUAGUUACAUGGAUAGAGGUAGUGCAGAGGUGCGGUGUUAGAGGAUAGAGGUAGUGCAGAGGUGCGGGGUAUUAGAGGAUAGAGGUAGUGCAGAGGUGCGGUGUUAGAGGAUAGAGGUAGUGCAGAGGUGCGGGGUGUUAGAGGAUAGAGGUAGUGCAGAGGUGCGGGGUAUUAGAGGAUAGAGGUAGUGCAGAGGUGGGGGGUAUUAGAGGAUAGAGGUAGUGCAGAGGUGGGGGGUAUUAGAGGAUAGAGGUAGUGCAGAGGUGCGGUGUUAGAGGAUAGAGGUAGUGCAGAGGUGCGGUGUUAGAGGAUAGAGGUAGUGCAGAGGUGGGGGGUAUUAGAGGAUAGAGGUAGUGCAGAGGUGGGGGGUUGUUAGAGGAUAGAGGUAGUGCAGAGGUGCGGGGUAGUUACAUGGAUAGAGGUAGUGCAGAGGUGCGGGGUAUUAGAGGAUAGAGGUAGUGCAGAGGUGCGGGGUAUUAGAGGAUAGAGGUAGUGCAGAGGUGCGGGGUAGUUAGAGGAUAGAGGUAGUGGCAGCUUGCAGAAGUUCUUGCCAAGUUGUUUUGUUUUGUUUAUGUAAAGAAAAGCCAUCAGUUCAGGGUAAACAUAGCAUGGGGUUAGAUAUUUGAGUCAAAAAGAGAUAGUAUGCCAGACCUUUAAUCCCAGUACUGAGGAGGAAGAGACAGGUGGGUCUAAGACCAGAGAAUAAAGCUGAGUAAAAAGGAAAAUGAAAAGGUAAGACACCAAGAACAGUGAACUUGAGUUGCAGAUGUCUCAGAUGAUCCUGGACAGGACGUCAUCAUUGAUGGCAAAGUGUGUGCUCUAAAUGUGACACAGAGGCUGUACUGUGCACUUAAACUGGUGUUGGCUAUGCUUAAAUGAACCCUACAGGUAGAUCACAGGAGACUUUUUCUUGGUUUGUUCUGUCUCACCACUUCACUCUGAUAGUCUCAGACUGAUGCAGUCUAUCAUUAAGGUUUGGAGGGGUUGUUUUGUUUGGUGGGGGCUUGGAGUUUUUUUGUUGGUGGUGGUGGUGGUGACUUUUUGGCUUCAUUUGAUGACAUACCAGAUAAUACUUUUCCUUGUAUAAACCACAUUGACUGUGAUAUCCCAGCAUACAUGGCUCAGCAGAUAAAGCUACUAUCACCAAGCCUGAUGAGCUGAGUUCAGUCCCCAGGACUCACAUAGUAAGAGAAAAGAGCUAACUCUUGGAACUUGCUCUCUGACCUCCAUUGGAUGAGCCAUGGCACAGCUGCUCACAUACAUAGACACAUAAUAAAUUCAUAAGGGAAAUGUAAUUUUAAAAGAUGUGCUUUAUUAUUUUUAGUCAUGUGUGUAUAUGUAGGCCUGAGUGGGAGUAUGUGCAUGUGAGUGCAGGUGUUCUCAGUGGCCAGAGGCGUUGGAUAUCCCAAGAGCUGGAGUUGCUUGUAGUUUGAGCCACCAGACCUGGAUGCUGGAAAUUGAACUCAGGAAUAACACAUGUUCUUAACCACAGCCCACCUCUCCAGCCCCAAUUUAAAAGUAAAAGGUUUAAAUGGAUGCUCUGUAGAAGAAAUACAGUAUACAAAGACAAGAAGCACAGCCAUGGUUUUUAUAAACUUAUCCACAUCAUUUUAUAACUACAUAUGGCAGACUUUUCUCCCAAUGCUAAGAAUUCAACAUAGGCCUGGCAUUUGCCAAGGCAAGUCCUUUAUCACAGAGUUAAGUCCCGGCCCACACAACAUAUUUUGGGCAGUAAUUUAAGUGUAUUUUUUCCCCUAUAUUUGGGUGAGGUACUUUUGUCUGUAAAAGCAUGGUAAUAAUAGACAAAUAUUUCUGGCCAGCUAGAACUGUAGAGUAUGUAGAAAGCAGUAGUUCCUUCAGUCAAGUGUUUCUUCCUUUCACUCCAUUUACUGUUAUUGUAUGUGUGUGUGCACAUGAUGGGAGGAAUUCUAACCACAAAGCAUGUAUAUGGAGAUCAGAGGACAGCUUUGUUAAGUCAGUUCUCUCCAUCCAUCUUUCCUUGAGCUCCAGGGAUCAAGCUCAGGCCUAAGGGAAGCGCCUUUACCAGCUAAGCUAUCAGCAGCCCUCAGUUAAUUCUUCCAUUAGGUUCUAAGGAUAUUACCCGUGCAUCCCCCUAUAUCCCUCCUGUCAUGCUGCUCACCGUUUCCUUACGAUGCCCUUUCUGUGCCUUGGAAAUGAUCAUAAAUGGUUACAUAACAGACUGCUCCACGUUGUGGUGGACUACAAUGACGAGCUUUACCUCACAGCUUCUGUGGAACAGGGUGUUCCUGGCUCCAAUCUCGUGAGGUUGCUGUCAAGAUGUCACUAGGACUACAGUCACCUGAAGGCUGACUGGGCUUUAGAGUCCCCUUGUUACCUGUACACAUUGGCUCUUCUUUGGGGCUACUUGAAUGUCCUCAUGAUAUGGCAGCUUUCCCCAGAACAAGUGAUUCAAGAUAUAUUCUUUUAUGUUCUAAUAGCAAGAGCCAUUCCCAAUCAUUUCCCCAUAGUCUAGCUGCUAGAAGCAACUCAUUAAGUACAGCCUCACACUAGGAAUGGAGAUUGAACUCUACCAAAGGAGGAAGGACCAUGAUAAUUGUGGACAUUUUAAAUCAUCACAACUGGCUUUGCCAUGUUUUCCUGACUGGGGUGCUGUCAAGAACAAGAUAACAGGUUGUAUUCAAGUAUGUCUAAUUAGUCAAUAACUUAGUACUUGCAAACUUAUUCUUAGUGCUAGGUAACUCUUACCCCUCUUGCCAGGAUGUAGGUAAUGGUUAUUUAGGAACUAAACUGAGACAUUGUGAACAUUUGAACUAACUUAUCAGCAAAGGUCAUGUAUAGGAACAUAAAAUAAGUCAUGAUGUCUGUAUCUUUGAAGAAUUUAUAUUAGAGAAUCCAGACCAAAAACUGACUAAUAUAAGAGAAGAUGCUGACAGUGGUAAAUAAGAUGCCUUGGUUCCGUGGAAGGAAAAUCUACCCAAGACGUGAGAGGUCAGGGAGCCAGGGAAGUUUUCCAGGAGCAGUGACUCCGCCACAGAACUCAGGCACACAGCUUCGGGGCUGUGCAGGGGGUGCCUCACUGCUCUCGUUGCC
rnacentral:sRNA from 1 species